rnacentral:rRNA from 1 species
GACGGAGGAUGCAAGCGUUAUCCGGAAUUAUUGGGCGUAAAGCGUCCGCAGGUGGCUGUUCAAGUCUGCUGUCAAAGCGCAGAGCUUAACUCUGUACAGGCGGUGGAAACUGAAGAGCUAGAGUAUGGUAGGGGUAGAGGGAAUUCCCGGUGUAGCGGUGAAAUGCGUAGAUAUCGGGAAGAACACCAGUGGCGGAAAGCGCUCUACUGGGCCAUAACUGACACUGGAGGGACGAAAGCUAGGGGAGCGAAAGGG